rnacentral:lncRNA from 1 species
GGAGGGGCAUCACCACUGAGAAGCUCCAAAGCAUGAAGGUGGGAAGACCUGCUGGCUACCGGCUUCCUGGCAUGCCAUGGAGGAGGAAGAAUGAAAGCCAGAGAAUCUGUCCAGUUGGGGAUCAGCCCUUCAUCUUUUGAGGGUGGUAUUUUCCAAAAGUAAGUUAUUUGGAGGCAAGUCUCACAAAUGAAGAUGAUGCUGGAGCUGGAAGGAACUACCCAAGGACAGGUUUUAUUUGGAAGGAAAAUUAAAAACAAAGAAGCCAGGAAGAAAAAGUCAUGAAAAGUAAGAAAAAAUGGGUAGCUAUCCAAAAUGAUAAUUGCAGGACACUCCAGGGAAGACUCACCGAGCCAGGAUGUUUUGACAAAUACACCAUGGGAAUGCUUCAACAAAUUGGCAUUAACUUUAAAAAAAGUUCCCAAUUCUGCAGAGAAUAAAUGACUGGCUGCUGACCACCUUGGAGGGGUCUCACUGAGAGCAGCCUGCUCGGACUCAGCUGUCAACCCAUGAGCAACUGAAGAAAUAUCCCCCCUCUACAGCAACACUGAGUUUCUGAGGUCACUGGGCAUUCCGACAGAAACCCCGACAACAAACAGAAAUCAUCUGCAGUGAUAAUACUCUUUUCAAGAAUGGAAGAAAAACUUACUUUUGGGUUUAAAGUACACAGUUUCCAUUAUAUUUAGCAAAAGCAACAUGGUUCAUUUUGGAGCUAGGAACAAAGCGUCAGUGGCUAGAGCCACACUAUGGAAAAUUUGAUAAUGUCGGUGAUAGAAAAUUUGCCAGUGACAGAAUAUAAGACCCAAACAGCUCAUAAAAAUAAACAGAUAGGUACCUCUUCUGCUAGAGAGAACAGCUUGCAGGAAGACGCCUACAGGAUGCUGGAAAAUUUAAGUGCAAUCCUAAAAGCCCUUCUUCAAAGAUGCAUGAGAGUGGCUAUGAGACAACACCUCGGAAGGACAUCCAUGGGAUUGAAGCCUGAGCAGCUGCUGCCAUGUCAUCAGCACAAGGGGACACUCAAGGCUCAGACCUCUGUGUUCUGUAGCCAGCAUGUCUGAAGUGGCACAGAGUACUCAGCAGCAGCAGUCAGAAGCGAGACCUCAUGCUGCUCCCUCUCCCUGGCUGCCCAAGUUUGCCUGCCUGCCUUCCUUCUCCCUCAGCAUCUGAGUAGAAGGAACCUGGAAGCAUGCUCAUCUUCUGCCCGUGGGGAGGGAGCUCUGGAAAAAAAAUCACUUUACCUAAUCCGUCCUUUUUACAGAGAAGCUCAUUUCACUGAAGUAAACAGAAAUGAUCCGACGUGGCUACAGGAAAGUGAGGGUACUGUUCCUUUAAACCCCUUGAAGCCAAAUUUAUUCCCCCACGAGGUCAGAGUCACUGGCCCCUGUUUAAAUGAAGGAGUGAAUAUUAAAGACCUUUAUACUAGGAAAAUAGUUUGGGUCUUAAAAAGUAAGCUGACCUGAAAUAGACCAAACCUACAAAAUUUAUUUCCACUCCAUCAGACUCCAUACCCCGAGGGUGUGCGAGCGUGACCAGCAAGCUGUGUUAGGUCACGAAUACUCGAGAAGCAGGCAUUGCGCGUGCAGUUCGGAACCCGUGCGAUAAUCAAUGUAAGAACAGUGCUGGAUCCGGCUCCAGUGAGGGGUAGGGCUGAUGCAUACCUUUGGGUCUUCUGGCAUUUCCACUCUUCUGCAGCUCAUCUUCCUCAUUAAUGGUGAAUAGAGCAAGGGGAAUUGUCCUUGCAGGAGUCUUCUUCAGUCUCUCUUGUCGGAUCGCUGUAGCUGACCCAGGCAUAACGCUGCUACUUGUUCGGCAAUUAUAUUAAAUAUAUAUGCUUAUGUAAUUGCAGCUCCCAGAAGCUGCUAGCUCCUAAGCUGCCUGUUCAUUUGAGCACUUGUAAUAGAUCCCCUAUGGGUAAACAGUGAGAACAGCUGACAGAUACUACCAGCUACUUGGCAACUGAGGUCCUGCUGCUGCCCCUCACCUAGCAGCAGCCCCCUCCCACUUAUUCCCCCCAAUAGGCACAGGCGCUGGUGAGUAAACACUCUCGCACAUGCACACACGCGCACGCGCGCACACACCCAUUUCAGAAGGCCUCUAUUAAAGGCACGCAGGUUCCGAUGCCUCCCUUGGACUGCCUAGCCUUGGUCAAUCAGAGCCAGCUUUCCCAGUCUUCUUUUUGCUACCGCACAGCAAAACAUUCAGCAUGCAGCGGAGGGCAAAAGAUGACAUGAUGCCUGCUGUGAACAGUUGCCCUGACAACCCUGACAUAGCCUAAUGAAGGAGGCUGGGAGCAGUUCCAGCUGCCCUGGGAUGCAGUCCUCAGAACCCACCAGCAGAGGCUUAGCUGCACAGGGCAGCUCCCUCCUCCUCUGGGUGGCAGAGCUGAGCGGCGGAAUGGUGGAGCAGGAGAAACGGGUUCGUCUGCAGGAGCAGCAGCUAAUUCUUCAGGACAGGAGAGGGGUUUCCUUCUCCCCCUCCCUCGUGGUCUAUUACAGUAAGUAAAGAUAAGGCAGGCAUCCCGCCGCCGCUGCCUCACUCUCCUGACACAAACACCCAUGUUUGUAUAGGCUGAGCCUUGGUGGCAUCUGUCCUGAUGUAUGGGGCUUCGAAUUCAUUUUCAAUGUGUUCUCAACUCAUGUAUAAACUCUCUCAAGAUACACUGUUCGCUUCGUUCAUGAGGCCCACCAGCACAAUACCGAAACCCUCCAAGGAGACCAGAAAUUGGAGACUGCCUCUUUCAACUAAAAACACUUUCUCUGAAAGUCAGGCUGAAAGGACAGAGACAAAGCCAAAGAGGGGAGUCCCAGCUGCCUGCCACUGCAUGACAGCUCUCCUUAUCCCAAUGCCCGGGCGUCUGCCAAACAGGUCUCGGCUAGUCACCCAGUUUCGGUUCUUUAGGACUAUUCUCUCAGAAGCAUGCAGCCGCCGUAUGAUUUUUGUUUCGUUCUGAAGUAAGUUUGCUCAUUUUAAGACUUUCCAUUUUUAUGUUGCUUCAAAUUUGUACAGUAAUUUUUUUUUAAUCAAUAGUUUUUAUAGCAACAAAUAACAAUUCAAAAAUGCUAAUUGCUAAAUGAAGGAAA